rnacentral:precursor_RNA from 15 species
UCCCAUGUGUAUCAACUGUCUCCCAUGUCUAUUGUACUUCAUCAGGUGCUCUGGUGUGUCUCGUAACCCGGCACAUGUUGAAGUACACUCAAUAUGAGGCGAUUUGCAUACGAAAGCGACC